AACCCUCGACCUUAGUUGCCAGCAUUCAGUUGGGCACUCUAAGGUGACUGCCGGCUAAAAGUCGGAGGAAGGUGGGGAUGACGUCAAAUCAUCAUGCCCCUUAUGACCUGGGCUACACACGUGCUACAAUGGGCGGUACAAAGGGUCGUGAACCCGCGAGGGGGAGCCAAUCCCAAAAAGCCGCUCUCAGUUCGGAUUGCAGGCUGCAACUCGCCUGCAUGAAGCCGGAAUCGCUAGUAAUCGCGGAUCCAGCAUGCCGCGGUGAAUACGUUCCCGGGCCUU
rnacentral:rRNA from 1 species